rfam:Triticum urartu cultivar G1812 contig358758, whole genome shotgun sequence.
GGCGCUUCAGGUGGCUUUGGGUCGAAAGUUCUGACGACAGACCAGAAGCGGGAAGCCGUGGAAGUCAUAUGCG